UCUAAAGAUCACCCAAUGGAACCAUAUGUGACCAAAGUUCUAAUGCAGAAGUUAGACCGAUUUCUUGAGGCUCACAUGAAAGUGAGGAGACAAAGACACUUCCAGGACCCUUAGGUUGCAGUGAAAGUAUUGUUGGAUAAAUGUGUGUUAGAAGCAGCAGGAGGAGAUAAUUACACUGCUAUUUGUGGGGGCAGGGUGGGAUCAUCAGUCAACUUCCUGCAGCCUUCUGGUCAAGAUGUAGUGCUCUCAGCUCUAGGACCACAUCUGUCUGCACUCCACCACGCUCCCAUCAUGAUCAUAACAGGCUGAAUCUCUGAAACUGUCCCGUCUGAGUUUGAAAGCAGCAUGGCAUAGAAAGAUGACGACACAGGCAUCCUACAUCCUGCUCCAGCAGUGCCACUUGCAACGCACGCCAGCCACUCAGCCACCUUGCAAGUUAUGGGAGGUUGUGAAAAUCCCGAGGAAAUGAGAUUCAAACAAACAGAUAGGGUGCUUUGGAGACGGCACAGAAAGAGAGAUCUGCGGAAAUCCAGCAGCUGGCUCAGAAAUCCAGUCUAGCUACUGAGCUAGAGUUGGCGCCUGUCUCAUCAACUGACCCCCCCCCCACCCUAGCAUUAUGACUUUAAUUUGCUGAAUACUCGAAGAUUUGCUUUCUAUUUAUCUACAAGAAUGAUGGCUCCCUUUCAGCUCAAUAUCCUCAUAAAACCCAUAAAAGAACUUAGCUCGAAGGGAUUGACUGGACCGCUAAUUGUGUCUAGUCUUAGAAAUAAGCUGGUUUGAAAUAAAAUGCAGAGAAACAAUUAAAGUCCUGGAAUUUUCUUGAAAUGA